GGUUCCUUAGCUCAGUUGGUUAGAGCGUGGUGCUAAUACCGGUCAAAUCGUGUAACGCCAAGGUCGCGAGUUCGACCCUCGUAGGGACCA